rnacentral:tRNA from 1 species
GCUGGGGUCGCCUAGCCUGGUAGGGCGCAGGCCUGCUAAGCCUGUGGGCUUCGGCCCUCGCGGGUUCAAAUCCCGCCCCCAGCG